UUCACUAUUGUUUUCUUACCUUUGUCGAGACCAAUUUCUUUCUUUUAAAUUGGGAAACAAAAUCCCACGAUCUCCUCUUUGCAUUCCACGAUCCCCAAAUUUAACUUCCUACUCUCAUCAGUUUCAUCAAAUCACCAUGUAUAUAUAUCACACAAUGACACAAUCGAUUAUCACAAUUGUUUCUCCCUUCACUUUAUCCAAAUCACCAUAAAAAAUUAUUGUUACUAUUAUAGAACUGUCUUUCCUGCUCGACAGCCGAACAUGAUCCCUUAACACCAAAUUCUUAUUUCAUCCUCACAGUUCAUUCAUUCCAACUUUCCACCUCUGGUCGUCUUCCUCCUCCUCUCAUAAGCAACAAGUUAGACAUAAGAGCUCCCGGAGAAAGUGAUAGUUGAAAACAAGGUUCUCAAACAUGUGUAUCAAGCCACUGAAUCUCCCGACUGACCAUAAGAUCUCAAAUUGUUUCGCCACCACAUCUCUAAUUAGAAACUCGCUAAGGGUGGCGUUUCACCACGUACAACAAAAAGCUAACGUCGAUACAUAUCUACGGCAUUCUGAAAAGCAUUGUGGUGAUUUAAAACUUAUAGGCCAUUGUUGAUUCUUGUGAUAGGACCAUUGAAUGUUUGGUAUCACAUAAUUUUUUAAUUAGCGUUCAGUACGAUUGAGGUUGAUCAUUGUUGAGAAGUUAUUAGUUAUUGAAAUUGUACGUUGAAUAAUUUCCUUCAAUCUCUUUAAUGUUAAAUUUUGAUCAUAUAUGUA